rnacentral:rRNA from 1 species
AGAGUUUUAGAGUUUGGUCCUGGCUCAGAUUGUACUCUGGCGGCAGGCCUAACACAUGCAUGUCGAGCGGUAGAGAGGUGCUUGCACCUCUUGAGAGCGGCGGACGGGUGAGUAAUGCCUAGGAAUCUGCCUGGUAGUGGGGGAUAACGUUCGGAAACGAACGCUAAUACCGCAUACGUCCUACGGGAGAAAGCAGGGGACCUUCGGGCCUUGCGCUAUCAGAUGAGCCUAGGUCGGAUUAGCUAGUUGGUGAGGUAAUGGCUCACCAAGGCGACGAUCCGUAACUGGUCUGAGAGGAUGAUCAGUCACACUGGAACUGAGACACGGUCCAGACUCCUACGGGAGGCAGCAGUGGGGAAUAUUGGACAAUGGGCGAAAGCCUGAUCCAGCCAUGCCGCGUGUGUGAAGAAGGUCUUCGGAUUGUAAAGCACUUUAAGUUGGGAGGAAGGGCAUUAACUUAAUACUUUACGUAUUUUGACGUUACCGACAGAAUAAGCACCGUCUAAC